UUCAUUGAUUAGUUUAUUGGGAAGACAUUAGGAAAUAUGUCCCAAAACUGUAGAUACCCAACUCCGAAAGUUUUGAGCCAUUAUCUAGGAUAUGAUGGUUUGGUCUGAGAGAGGUGAAAGAAACCUCUGUGUUGGUUCACAGACCUCCUGUGAACCUGCAUAUAUAUACUUCCUGUAGCAGAUUUUCUAGGGUCUAAUGUUGUGCUGUAUCCUCACCAUGGGGAUUUUAAUAACUUUGGCAGUAGAUUGAUUUUGAGUAAGUAGAAUUCAGAUUAUGAAAUCUGUUCUCUCUCUAACAAACACCUGUUCUUGCAGACAGGUUCAUUGAGACUAGUGGAAUGACUUGAGAGAGUGCUGACUAAUUUCAGUGAGACCUUCAGUCUUGAUCCACUUUGGGAAGCUGGAUUUAAUUGUGUGUGAAAAGGAAUGGAGCCAAAACAGAGUAUGGAGGGAAGAAAUCUCAGUGGUUUUUGUGGAUAUGCCUUCAUAGUAGAUGAAGAUUUAGGGCCAAUAUUGGCAAGCCCCAUAGCAGGAGGAGGAAGGAAGAAGGAACAGACCUGACAUGAGCUACUGAGCUGGAAGCUAUGCUAGACCAGACACUAAGGAUCUGCUGGUGAUGAAUCUAUGUGUCUAAGAAGCAGCAGAGUCAAAGUCAUAGACUGGAAAGUGACCCACCACGUUGGAAUAGAGGACAUUUGUAUCAUCACAUGCCUCAACAGUAUGAGCUGGUCUGGGGAAGCAGUCAGCUCUGCCCUUCAAACUGCGAUUGCAUCCAUGUGUGCUGCACAGGUUUUUUGUUCACUGGGUGAUCUUGAACUGGCCUUGCUAAAAGCUUCCCUGACAUUUCCAAAGGAGAUAAAUCUACCUAAAACCCUGGGAAGCAGAAGUGCUCCUCUGUUUGAAGGCAGUGAAUGACCAGCAGUGAACUGCCAGUUGCCAUGUCAGAGCCCCUUGCCACUGCAGCCGCCAGCUUCUGAGCCCUGAUAACCUUCAUGUGAUGCUCUGCGGAGGAGGAUCGCACCGGUGAUGUGAUGAUGCAGGUACAGCUUUUCUGAGCAUCCUUUAUGGAGGACAGUAAUUCUCUUUCAUGGCUGCUUUUGUGGUGUCAACA
rnacentral:lncRNA from 1 species